CUCGCCCGCAGGCUUAGGUGGAGCUGCUGCAGAUGGCGGGAAGUCUCUGCUAGCCCAGUGGACCAGCUCUGCUUCUUCCAGGGGAUGAGCACAGGGCACCAAGCUCUUAUGCUUAGACGUUAUAGACAGGAAAAGGAAAAAAAAAAAAAAAGCAUCGGUCUUAUAUGCAGAUAAUACUAAAAACAGCCAGAGGCUUUGGGGUUUGUAGGUCUGUUUUGAUCUAGCCUUCAUAUUUUUGAGGUGCUGCCUUGCUGGCAGCUUUUCAUGUUUCUCUGAGUUGUGUCAAGAGGAACCUAAGUAGAACAUAAAUGUAGUCUUCUGUGAGGGAAGUCAGGCUGAACAGUCUGGGGAAAAAAAAGAAGAAGAAAAAAAAGCUGCAUAAAUGGCAGGUUGUGAUAUGCCAGGUGGGCUGCUUUGCCAGGGUCAGUUUUGAGUUAGGGUAAAAUGAUGGUAUGAGAUUGCAGAGGCAUCGUAAGCAGGAGUCGUUCAGUGGAAAUGAAGUGAUGCCUGUUAGCAAGAGGAGAAUUCACUGUCAUCUUUGAUUCCUACAGAAGUAGGGGGGUCAUGAAAAAUUGUACAAUGCAAUGGAAACAUAACAUGCUUUGCAUGCAGAGGUGUUCUGACAGUUGAGACAGAGAACAGAAAUCAUGUCAACUAGCACCAUGCAAUGGAACAUGGGAGGGACUGAUGGCAAACAAAGAAAAUAGACAUACAAAAGAAGGGAAGGAAUGUGUGUGCUGAAGAACUUCUGGGAUAGAGACCCCCUGCGUUGCUGAAAACAUUGACUGAAAGCUGAGCUGACAACUUGUGGUCUCAUCUUCAGGACUGUUACUCUUGCAGGAUUUUAGAAAAUCCUUAGCUGAGGAACUGUAACCACCUGUUGCUUUUCACUUUUGAACUUUGGAAUUUGUUUGGACUCUUCUCCUCUAUGCAGACUGCCAUGCAUUCAGCAUCGCUUCUUUGUUAUCAGAUAGCCCAAAUGAAAUUUUCUUCUUGAGGCUUCCAAUCAUGGCUGAGUUCAAGAUGUUCAAGGCCAGGUUGUAUGGGGCCCUGGGGAACCUGGGCAACCUUAUCUUCUGCCUGAUUUUGUGAUUUCCAGUGGGGGAAAAAAAAAUCACAGCUUUACGUUUUAGAAAUAGACCUCUGUUCUUCAUCCCAGUUUAAUGGCCAUAGGGAAUCUAGAAGAGCUUUCUUCAACCCAUCCCAAAAAUAAAUGAAUAAAUAAGAAAGUAAAUAAAUAAAAUAAUAAUCUAACAGGCAACAGAUGUUUGAACUUGUUUCAGCUGCAAUUAAAACAGUCUUUGUGCUACAGAAUCUGUUUUAAAACUUUGCAUAGUCCCACCAUUUCUGAGUCUGCUCAUGCAUUAGGGCUGGACGUGCACUUCCUCUUCUUCUUAGGCCCCCUUCCUGAACUCUCCUCUGUUUUAUGUAAAAGAACUUUAGUGAAUGUGCCUGGUUAGUUCUUCUUUGCUUCACCAAAGCAUCAGAUUCUACCAGCUGGUCUCUGCUUUUAUUAUGUUUGGGUUUUUUUGUUUUGCAAUUUCCCUGCUAAGUAACUUCUCAGCAAGUCUACCAAAACAAAUCAAAUGUGAAAGUUCUGCAUCAAGUCAGAGCAUUAAUUCCUCUGAGUAGUCAAAAAAAAUGUAUUAUUGUCACUCUAUUAUAACUAUGAGCUGUUUUGAGCUAUAUUUGCACCAGCACAGUUGCUUUUUGAUACAGAACUAUUUUCAAUCUUUUUUUUGAAUGCCUGUAUGUGUUAGUUUUUAAUUUUGAUUACCAUAAACAAAGCAAGGGACAAGAAAUUGACAAAGUGUCCAACAAUACAUUUUUAGAUGACUCGCUGUUAAUUUACUACUAAGUAGAUGUAAGGUAUGUUGUCUUUAAGAUUUGCUAAAUUUUAUUAUUUUUACAGCAAAUUCUGAUUUAGGCCUCUUCUCCAGGGAUCUAAUUUUUUUUUAAUUUUCUUUUAUGUUCAUGGAAUACCAUAUUCCACAAACAGCUGUAGUAGAUGGUCCUGAUUUUCAUUUAUAUUAAGAGGUCGUCUGUGUUUCUUUUUUAUUGUGUAGAGGCAUUCGGAAGGCCUGAAUUCCAGCUAUGUGGUGUAACAUUACUUCAUUCACUAUAAUAUGUUGUCAAACCAAAGUGAAGGAACUAAAAACACACCCUCCAAAGUGGAAUUACAAUCCAAUGUUUGUAGAUACUUUUGUCAGCAAUUAGUAGAGACUAAUUUUUUUCAUGGCAUCUAUCUUGACCAUUAUUACAAAAUAAAAGCAUUUUCUUGUCAUAGAAGUACUGAGGAGGGUAGUUGUUUGCAUAUUAACUCAGUGGUAGGCAAUAUCCCAUUUUUCUAGUGUGCCAGUCCGCGUAUCUCAUAUGACAAGUGAACUGAAAGUCUGGAUGUCUUUCAGAAAGAUGGAGGGCCUGGCUUUUUAUUGUGGGGGAAACAUUCAGGUAAAAUUAACGAAUCCAGUGAUAGAAUGUCUGUUAAACUCAUAAAUCUCUAGAGAAAAUUCAGUUUUAGCCUGAAGCUAUGUUUAUAUGUAUGUCAACAAAAUUAGAAUCAAAGCCCCUUGCUUGACCUAAGGGGUUGGAAAUGCAUCAUGAGAAUAGGACACUUUCCAACACUAGGGAUUCCUUACAAUUUUCCAGUGAAUAUUACCUCCAGGUUAAUAUUGUAGCAAUGAGUCCCACAGUGGAAUGUUGAACUGUCCUUUCUUGAUAAGUGCUACAUUUCUAGAGGAAGGAUAUAGGAGUUUAAGUUAGGAGGACUACAGUAAUUUACUGGCAGAAAUCUGUUAGGUGUUUUGAAUGGUGUGUUAUAUCAAAUGUCUGCUUUAUUUCCAAACAAUUGACUGAACUCAAACGCAUGUUUUGAUUCCAAGGUUGUUGGAAAUAAGACAUUCAUUACUGUUCCUAAAAAAUGAAUAAAUGAACUUCUCAAUGGGCUUUUCUAGUCUGAACUUCAAACGCCAAACCAUUCUGACCUCCAUGAUUGAUAAUGCCUUAAUGACUCCUGUUAUCUACCACUGCCUCUUUUCAAUGUGCUUCUGAGUGCUACCAUGUUAGCAAAACAGUCAACAUCAGCCAAGUUUAUAUCUAGUGAUAUCUGCAGAAAAUUGAUUUCUAUUCAUUAUAAAACAGUUUACCCCUUAGCUAGGGACAAUUUUCAUUGAAUGGAAAGUAAAGAAAUAAUGAUGGCAGGCUAAUAGACUAUUUCUGAUGUAUGCACUUUUAGUUUUCUGAAGCAAGUAUGAGAAUUUAUAAAACUACUUGGUUCUUUGUAAGAUGUUUAAAUACUCAUUUUUUAAAAAUCAGUAUCUUUUCUCCAAUGUUAAAUUGGAGAAAAUCCGCAUUUUGUGGAAGUAGAGAUUGUCUUCCUUUGUUUUGAUACUGAUUGUCCAUCUACCAAGAAGGAUAUCACAAAUAUUUGUUUCCUUGUUGAAGAUGAGACAGUAAGAUGAGUGAGCUUAAUCUACAUUGCAGGAUAAAAUUACAUUCACUGUUAAGAAAUUCUUCCUUAAGAAUUCUGUAGAUUUAGUGCUCUGCUCAUAAGCUGGAAUGUUAUCGAGAAAGUCAACUUCUGUAUAUUCUCACUGCAAUAAAUCUGGACUGUUUAAUGGUCUAAUCUGUGCAAAUGCUACCUUCCAGAUUUGCCUCAACAAUGUACGUU